GAUGAACGCUGGCGGCGUGCCUAAUACAUGCAAGUCGAGCGAACGGACGAGAAUCUUGCUUCUCUGAUGUUAGCGGCGGACGGGUGAGUAAUACGUGGCUAACCUACCUAUAAGACUGGGAUAACUACGGGAAACCGUAGCUAACACCGGACAAUAUUUUGAACCGCAUGGUUCAACAGUGAAAGACGUUCUUGCUGUCACUUAUAGAUGGAUCCGCGCUGGAUUAGCUAGUUGGUAAGGUAACGGCUUACCAAGGCAACGAUGCAUAGCCGACCUGAGAGGGUGAUCGGCCACACUGGAACUGAGACACGGUCCAGACUCCUACGGGAGGCAGCAGUAGGGAAUCUUCCGCAAUGGGCGAAAGCCUGACGGAGCAACGCCGCGUGAGUGAUGAAGGUCUUCGGAUCGUAAAGCUCUGUUAUUAGGGAAGAACAUAUGUGUAAGUAACUGUGCACAUCUUGACGGUACCUAAUCAGAAAGCCACGGCUAACUACGUG
rnacentral:rRNA from 1 species